rnacentral:sRNA from 1 species
UAAGCCUAGUCUUAGCAUUUUAUGUCUUACCUUUAACAAAUUUCCAUUCAUCAAUUCUGAUUAAUCCCAGGCCAGGACGAGUAGACCCCAUUUGCCAGGUGGCCCCCGAAGGACAAUCCACAAUUAAAUGCUGCGCUCAUGGCGACAUCGUUUAUCACUUCGCGGACUUCUCAGUCUUGGAUUCGCUAGGCUCUCUGUCGACCAUUAUGGUUGCUUCAUUACCAGCGAUUAAUUUUGAUUGUUUCGACCAAGAGACGAGCAAAAAGGAAGCACUACAAACUCCAAAUCUUUCCAGAGCUUCGCUGUUAAUUUUUUUUUGUAUAUCCUCCCAAAAAGAGGGCCAUAUUUCACCCAACAGGAGACAGACAGUGCCAGGAUGCGGAGUGGGAACUGUGACCGAAAUUAAGCACACAGGACACAACUACACGAAAACGUAAUAAAAUCAUAAUCGUCGGAUCAACACAGUCAUCAGCGGUGUCACAACAGGCCACCAGGAGAUGAUGACAACAAACACACACCAGCCAUCCCGCAAUCCCGCCAACCGACUUCGGAGGACUCCGAAGGAUGCCACAAGGCGACCCAAGGAGCCCCAGCCGUCGUGGCAGAAGCAAUUGCCAGGCGAAACUCAACGUCCUCUUCCUCGUCCUCCAAAAAAAUAGAAAAAACAAGAGCCAAGCUAAAGGGAAAAACUGAACAGGAACAGAGAGCUGAGAGACAAUGAAGACGGCGUUGCAAGGACUAAAAGUGGCAAUUGCCAGGACGAGGACAGAGACAGAGGACAGUGAAACUAUAGACCAAAAAUCACUGUAUCCCCUGAAAGAGACCCGGACCUCAUCCGCCCACGCACAUGAAGAGCUGAUGUGCAGCUUCCGGUCCUAAGCGACGCACAGGUGCAGGCUAACGGUAAAGCUAUAGCCAAAGCAGGGAAUGAAAGAGAAGGACCAAGGGCUCCACUGCCAACCGAAUCCAGCCAAGCACGGCGAGCCAUAAAAACUUUGGGCUGGGAGUUAGGUUGGGCAACUGGAGGUGAUGAUGAAAAAUGCGACAAUGAAAAUAAUGCCCGGCACACGCAUCUCCAGCUCCAUCUCCAUCUGAAAUCUCCUUCCACAUCCUUGACUACGUUCACAUCCAAUCCGGAUACCAAAUGAGGGCUGAGCCACCGCCGACGUCCAGCGGCGAUGUGAAGCUAUAUAGAAGCCAUUCGAGGCACUUAAAGACACGGCGGCGGGUCGAUGCCAUUUUUGGUGUCUGGGUGUGAAAAAGUUUAAGUGGCAACAAGGACAAAAUCCCUGGAUUUACUUUUAUGCACUCUCACACUCCGACUCCCACUCACUCGCUUUCUGAGUGCAAUCUGAGAGGUGAAUGUCGAACAGUGUAAGCUUCCCCAAAAAGCAAGAAAAAAAAAUAAAAAUGA